CAGCCGCCGCGGUAAUACGAAGGGGGCUAGCGUUGUUCGGAUUUACUGGGCGUAAAGCGCACGUAGGCGGAUUCUUAAGUCAGAGGUGAAAUCCCAAGGCUCAACCUUGGAACUGCCUUUGAUACUGGGGACCUCGAGUCCGGGAGAGGUGAGUGGAACUGCGAGUGUAGAGGUGAAAUUCGUAGAUAUUCGCAAGAACACCAGUGGCGAAGGCGGCUCACUGGCCCGGUACUGACGCUGAGGUGCGAAAGCGUGGGGAGCAAACAGGAUUAGAUACCCGCGUAGUCCCUGUCUCUUAUAC
rnacentral:rRNA from 1 species